rnacentral:rRNA from 1 species
CGAGCGCAACCCUUGUCCUUAGUUACCAGCACGUUAUGGUGGGCACUCUAAGGAGGACUGCCGGUGGACAAACCGGAGGAAGGUGGGGAUGACGUCAAGUCAUCAUGGCCCUUACGGCCUGGGCUACACACGUGCUACAAUGGUCGGUACAAAGGGUUGCCAAGCCGCGAGGUGGAGCUAAUCCCAUAAAACCGAUCGUAGUCCGGAUCGCAGUCUGCAACUCGACUGCGUGAAGUCGGAAUCGCUAGUAAUCGUGAAUCAGAAUGUCACGGUGAAUACGUUCCCGGGCCUU